rnacentral:rRNA from 1 species
UUAAGCAUAUCAAUAAGCGGAGGAAAAGAAACCAACAGGGAUUGCCCUAGUAACGGCGAGUGAAGCGGCAAUAGCUCAAAUUUGAAAGCUGGCCUUUGGUCCGCAUUGUAAUUUGUAGAGGAUGCUUUUAGGCAGCCGCCGGUCUAAGUUCCUUGGAACAGGACGUCAUAGAGGGUGAGAAUCCCGUAUGUGACCGGCUCAGGCACCUUCUGUAAAGCUCCUUCGACGAGUCGAGUUGUUUGGGAAUGCAGCUCUAAAUGGGAGGUAAAUUUCUUCUAAAGCUAAAUACUGGCGAGAGACCGAUAGCGCACAAGUAGAGUGAUCGAAAGAUGAAAAGUACUUUGGAAAGAGAGUUAAAAAGCACGUGAAAUUGUUGAAAGGGAAGCGCUUGCAAUCAGACUUGGCCUCGGUUGUUCAACCGGUCUUUUGACCGGCCUAUUCAAUCGGGGGCAGGCCAGCAUCAGUUUCGGCGGCCGGAUAAAGGCCUUGGGAAUGUGGCCUCUCCUUCGGGGGAGGUGUUAUAGCCCAGGGUGUAAUACGGUCAGCUGGGACUGAGGUCCGCGCUUCGGCUAGGAUGCUGGCGUAAUGGUUGUAAGCGGC